GGUAAGAUGGCUGAUAUAAGCGAUGGCCUGUAGUCCCAUCAAUGAAGGUUGCAACCCUUUUCGUACCA
rnacentral:tRNA from 1 species